rnacentral:lncRNA from 1 species
ACUGAACUGAAAUUGCUCUUAGUUUUAAACUUGAAUUAUGCAGCUGAACUGAAAUUGCUCUUAGUUUUAAACUUGAAUUAUGCGGCUGAACUGAAAUUGCUCUUAGUUUUAAACUUGAAUUAUGCGGCUGAACUGAAAUUGCUCUUAGUUUUAAACUUGAAUUAUCUGACUGAACUGAAAUUACUCUUAGUUUUGUACUUGAAUUAUGCGGCUAAACUUUGCUAACUAAAAUAUUAAAAACUAAGUUUCAUCAUUCAAAUUAUAUCAUCAAUAACGAGUCUGCUCGCGUUUUUUACCGAUAAUAAGAUAAUAAAUCUAUCUUAGGAACCAAGCAGGCUUUAUUAAAUAAAUUUAUUUAUGCCAACAUGAUAUACAACGGCGAGUUAAGUUCACUAACUUUAAAGACCAAACAAUUAAAAAAAAAAAAAAAACAAAAACUUAAGCUUCUGCAAUCAAAACAGAUUUGUCUUUGCAUAAUUUAUAAACUUUAUUAACUGGAUUCAAACUUUUUUUAAACAUACUUUAACUUGUUAUUUUAUCAGAUUUUUUUUUAAAUUUUUAUCGUUUAGAUCGAACGACGUUCGUCGUCGUCGUCGCUCCGCGUACGAAAGUUGUUGAAUAUGCAGCUUAAACUUGAAUUAUGCAGCUGAACUGAAAUUGCUCUUAGUUUUAAACUUGAAUUAUGCGGCUGAACUGAAAGUAAUAAUAAUAAUUAAAAAAAUAAAUAAAUAAAAAGAAUAAACUCUACAAUGAAUUCGCAUAUUAUAUUUAAUUAUUCUAAUCAGUAUAAUGUUUACGGAAACUUUAGAGGAUUAAUAAAAGCUCGUUCGUUUUAUUAUUAAGAAGAAUCGCAAUCGCGUCGAAAAUGGAGCCAUUUUCUGCUUCGAAAAAUCCGAUUUGUAAGAAAAAUAUUUCACGAAUUGUUGGAUAAACAUCAAAUUUUACAAAAUUCGAAUGUUUAAUAGCAAUUUUUAACAAUUAUAUCAUCAGAAUUAAGGUAGUAAAGGCGCUAAAACGUAAGUUGACCUGAGACACAAAAAUAUCGUAGGCCCAACCGCCGAUGCCAACUUCUAGGAUUUUUUAUUAAUGUAGAAGCGCAUUCCUUAUUCAUUUUGACUUCUAAAUGCUGUUUAUCAUUAGUUUUUCUUCUUUAAAUUAUUAAUCGUUAUUCCUUACACGAGAUAAUUCGUUUCUAUAUUAAUUAUUACAGAUAUUCUGAUUAAUAAUAGAUGCAUAUACGUCUUGCAAUGAUAAUUAGACUAGAGUGACGUCUCCCUGAUGAGUCCUUGUUAAUAUUAGCCAUUUCUGACUGUCAUUUUAAUUAAUUUUGCCAUAAAUUUGCACAGUUUGAUGCAUUCGUAUCAAUCCGAGUUCAAAUCUUUUCAAUUUUAACCUAUGGAACUUUCUAUAAUCGAUCAAAAAAUUGGCAUUUUUCGGAAGAUAUUUCCGACGCGUAAACUCUAAUUUUUCGGGUAAAUAAUAAAUCAGAUUCAGAGCCAAGAUGGUUAAUGACAUUUUAAAUAUUUAAUUUUUGGUAUUAACAAAUUUUAUAUCGGAAAAUUAAAGGCGAUAGCUGCCAUGCAAAGUUUUGAAAAUUUUGCGCGUUGCCGUUGCGAUACGUCGCGGAGCGUGUAUAAAGCGCGGCGUAGAUGAGUUUAUUCACUUAACUAAGCAAAAUUUCGCUAUAAAAACCUAAGAAAAAAAAAGAUACAGUGUUUGAAUGAAGAUACAACACCUUUCUUUUAAUUCUUUAAAGUGUGAAUAAGAACAAAAUCUCAUUUUUUCGAAAGGUCAACGUGAUAUUAAUAUCCAUAGCUAGCGACGGGUUACAAAAAAAAAUUUUUUUUUCCUUACUCUUCUCUUUUCCUGUUAUAUAUUUAAUAAUUCCGGUUCAAGAAAAUCCUUCCGGAUUCUAUAAAAAUUUAACAAUUCAGUAACUCUUGUGAAUUUCGGCAGAAAAAAGAUUUUUUUUUUUUAAGUUAAAAUGUCAGAAAUUUUUCCAUAUAUAAUCCCUCUAUGCUGCUGCAGUAAUAAUCAAUGGGUUGUAUUUUUGCUAUUGUGUGUGUUUCUUCUCUCUCUAUUCUUCGUCGUACUACUCGGGCACCAAAUUUAAUCCCUAUUUUUAAUGCGGGAAAAUAUAAUCCGCCGUUAAAUAUUCAGGCGUAUUAGACAGAAAAUAUUCAAGUUAACAAAAUUUUUUUUUUCUAGUUUAAACUUUCAGCUUACUUUCUAGAUAUAAUUUUGUUAAAUGUGCGUUUAUUAGGCCAUUUAAGUUGGAUUUUUAGUAGGAUCUUCGUUGUUUGAUUAAAUCGUUAAUUAAGAUCAAUAAUAACUUCGUUUCUUAUCCGACGCCAUUUAAUCUACGUAAGAUAGAACUAAAUCCUACUCUUUGUCUCUAAAAAUUCAAAGGUUAAAGAUUUUUAUAAUUAAAAAUCAGCUGAUUGAUUGAUUCUCUAUUAAAAACUGCAUCAAAUUUCAUAAAAAUGCUACUUGUUUCGAACGUUUAUGCCUAGAGACGAUAGACAAUAAUGGCCUAUCCGAAACAAACACUUACAAGACACUUUAAGCUUAGCAAGUUUCCAAAAUUGAGAAUUAAAUUAAAAUAUCCACUUAUACUUUUUAUAAAUUUUAUAUUCUUUACCAAUGAUAUUUUCAUCUGCUAAAGAAUAAAAGAAGAAGAAAGAAACAGUUCCCGUUAUUAAAUCAAAUGGAAACUCUCCUCUUUUUCUUUUAUUUUCCAUCGAAAAGUCGUCAUAAUUUUUAUGUUCUUCAUGUAAAGAUAAUACUAAAUUUUUCACGCAGCAGGCCUCACGCAUUUAAGGCCUCUUCCAUUUUGUUUUCUGUAAAAAAAAGAGGGCCUUUCAUGAAACCACGACGAGAAGAUAUUCUUUAAUUCUAUCCCGGUAGAGAUGAUAAAUUUGAAUAGCAUUUGUUAAGGGAGACUAAGUCUCAUUAUAAUUCGUUUUUGCCUUAAUAGAAAUUUUAUUUUCAUGGCUAUUAAUUUUCCUUUUUAUUCUGUUCAUUUAACUACAUCUUCCUGUGUAGUUGUUGCUUCCGUUUCGGUUCUGUGCCAGUUCUAUUAUACACACACUCGCACCUGAUUACAUUUACAUGCAGUGUGUGACUAAAAGAAGAAAUUCGAACUCGUUCGUCCGUUAAAAUACUUUUUCUAAACUAUUUUUAUAACUAUAUUUUAUUAUGGAACAAAACUGAAUAUAUAUAUAUAUAUUCUUUGUUCUGGAUAAUAAUUCGAUUUUACUUUUCCUUUAUCGGAUUACAGCUGAUGAUACAGAUCAGCAUGUUCACAGUUUUUUUUUUUAAAUCCUCCUGUUUGAGAAUCCGAAAACAAAAUUUCGGCAUUGUUCUAUGUUGCAAAAAUACAAGAGUAAGGAUCUUUUUAUCAAUUUUGACAAUUUUGUUUAGCGCAUCAUUCAGUUCUCUUGAAACGGUGGGAGUUAUACACGAAUUAUACUUAAUUAUGAGAGCCUAGAAACAUUUUAGUAUAAAAUCCUAGAAAGGAGUGAUAUAUAUAUUAUGAAUUUUUACCCGAACAAAAAUUUAUGUUGCAAAAAUCUACCUCUUGUGGCUCAGGCCUAUCUCGAGUUUUAUUUGGACCCGUAGGAAUAAAAAACACCAGUAUUCCUAUUUAAUAUUAUUGUAAGGGGCGUGAAAAUAACAUAAAAAAAUUCGUGCCAAGUGCCAAGUCUCUGUCGUUACGCUAUCGCAGUCUAGGCAGGAAUUUUCCCUCUUGUCACGCUAUGCGAAAAUGUGGGCAACCAAAAAAAAAACGCAGGCCUACUUUGCCUAUGGUGAAAUAUGGUCCGCUUUGUAUUAAAAUUUUCGUAACUAAAAAAAAAAAAAACAGGAAUUUGCUUUGAAAACUCCUAACAAUGGGUUAAAAAUUAUCAAUAUUCAUCAGGAGCAGUGGAAGGAAGAGUUGCCUUCCACUGCAGUAGUUGAUUAUUGGUAAUUUAUUGCUUCAUUGUUAGGAGUUUUCAAAUCAUUUCUCCACAAUUUCCUUCCAUUCAAUCUUCUUUAAAAAAAAACCGAAUUUUUACUGCUAUUUUUUAUGAUAAUCGCUUAAAACUUUGACACUGAUAUUUCUCAGUUUAAACUAUUAUAUAUAUUCGUUAAAAUUAAUGUCUAAAUUGUUUUUAAUUACCAUAUUUUUCAACGUUUCUUGGAACUUUUUCCAAUCAGUUACCAAUUUUCUACGAAAAGUAGCUGAAAUAAAAUGUACAAGAAUAAAUUAUAUUACAAUCUAUAAAACAGUACAAUAUAUACAACAUAAGUAUGUAAAUCAGAUAGUUAGGUAAGCUACAGUACAGUACUAAUUAGUAUUUAUAUACAUUAUUGUACAUUUAGUUCCUGUAGAUUAAAAUUAAUUCUUGCUGAUUACAGUCUAUAAAAAA